rnacentral:rRNA from 1 species
UGGGGAAUCUUCCGCAAUGGACGAAAGUCUGACGGAGCAACGCCGCGUGAGUGAUGACGGCCUUCGGGUUGUAAAGCUCUGUUAAUCGGGACGAAUGGUACUUGUGCAAAUAGUGCGAGGAUUUGACCGUACCGGAAUAGAAAGCCACGGCUAACUACGUGCCAGCAGCCGCGGUAAUACGUAGGUGGCAAGCGUUGUCCGGAAUUAUUGGGCGUAAAGCGCGCGCAGGCGGAUUGGUCAGUCUGUCUUGAAAGUUCGGGGCUUAACCCCGUGAUGGGAUGGAAACUGCCAAUCUAGAGUAUCGGCGGGGAAAGUGGAAUUCCUAGUGUAGCGGUGAAAUGCGUAGAUAUUAGGGAGAACACCAGUGGCGAAGGCGACUUUCUGGACGAAAACUGACGCUGAAGCGCGAAAGGCAGGGGAGCGAACGAG